rnacentral:rRNA from 1 species
AGGGUUCGAUCAUGGCUCAGGAUGAACGCUGGCGGCGUGCUUAACACAUGCAAGUCGAACGAACCUUCGGGUUAGUGGCGGACGGGUGAGUAACGCGUGAGAAUCUGCCCUCAGGAGGGGGAUAACGGUUGGAAACGACCGCUAAUACCCCAUAUGCCUAUGGGUGAAAUGAAUUUCGCCUGAGGAUGAGCUCGCGUCUGAUUAGCUAGUUGGUGAGGUAAUGGCUCACCAAGGCUUCGAUCAGUAGCUGGUCUGAGAGGAUGAUCAGCCACACUGGGACUGAGACACGGCCCAGACUCCUACGGGAGGCAGCAGUGGGGAAUUUUCCGCAAUGGGCGAAAGCCUGACGGAGCAACGCCGCGUGAGGGACGAAGGCCUCUGGGCUGUAAACCUCUUUUCUCAAGGAAGAAGAUAUGACGGUACUUGAGGAAUAAGCCACGGCUAAUUCCGUGCCAGCCGCCGCGGUAAUUC